GUCCAAUUUAAUUCUAGGCAGUCGACCUUAGGGUCUAAGUUUAGGAAAAAUUUUCGAAUGUCUAUUAAUUGUAUGUCUUUUGUUAUUAGAUAAUUCAGCCUUCCCGCCAGCUCCACCCGAGGCGUAUGAGCGGACUGUGGAACGCAUCAAAUCUGUGAUAGUUAAAGACCUUCACCAUCGCACAUUCGACAGUCCGACUUCUUCUUCUUCGGACUUUGUAAUUAUCUUGUACUUCUAUACUUGUCAUUUUUACUCUAGAGUAUCCGCAGUAGGAAAUUCUAAAAUUUAUAUAACUAUUCUGACUUCUGUUGGUAGUAUGGUGAUUUAUUAUGCAAGACAAUUAUGACUACUUUAUAUUUGGUUAAUUGUA